UUCACUUUUACACAACUGCCACUCUCCCCUCCAUUCCAUCUUCAUCGAUUUCUCUUUGCUAGAAACGAAACAACUAUCUCUUCUCGAGACGAUAAGGACGUGAAGGGGAGAGAGAAAGACAAGAGAUGAUGCAGAAACGACGCCUCAAAGGAAGCAGUGAUGUGAGGUUCUAUGUUUGUUUGCUGCCCUGCCAUGCUUUCUGUUUCCGCACCAUGAAGCAUGCUUCCCUGGUUUUGAUCCGACGACCCAGUUUUAUAGUUUAAAGAUUUUGACAGUGUCGCAACCCAAUUAUCACGCAGAAGCAAUUUUCUGCGUAACGAGGAUUGAAAUGCACAAAUUCUUGUGCUCUAGUUAUUUUCUCAGUGACCCUUGUUGGGAGCGUCCACUGGUAUGGAGGAUGGGUGGCCUGCGUCAUGUACAUGGUUGUCAAGGAACUGCUGUUUCUAAACCUGUAUGCUGUAUGACUGUAUCUAUUGAUCUUCACUUUGUAAGGAUGAUUAGUCAUGGAAAGAAAAAUCCUCUAUUUUUGAGGUCUAUCAAUUUGGAAUCUCUCUUUUUUUUC